CGGUCAAAUCACGCUGAAAACCGGUUCUCGUACGAUCACCGAAGUUAAGCAGCGUAGAGCCAGGUCAGUACUUAGAUGGGGGACCGCUUGGGAACACCUGGUACUGUAAG
rnacentral:rRNA from 1 species